ensembl:snRNA U4 U4 spliceosomal RNA
AGCUUUGCACAGUGGCAGUAUCAUAGCCAAUGAGGUUUAUCCGAGGCCUGAUUAUGGCUAAUUGAAAACUUUUCCCUACUCAA